UUUGAAGGAAUAUGUCUGAAAACCCUGAAAACCCUAGCUGUCUAUACACACAUCCAAUCUCUGUCCUCCCCCGUUCUAAUCUGCCGCUCCAUUAUACUUUAACCUGCAAUCAUUUAAUCUCUAUGUAUCUCCAUAUUUAAACCCUAAGCUAAACUCUCCCUGGUUUCACCCUCCAUGCCGAACAUCUCUACGAUGGAGGGGUAUGGUGGCAGGUGGCCCAUCAGGUUUAUGUGGAGGUCCGGGGUCAGUGACGGGAGGUGUGGAGGCAGUGGCGGUUGUGGGAGAUGCGGCAGCAGCUUGAUUUCAAUCUUAUUUUACUGAUUUUGUUUUAUUUUCAGCUUGAUUCAUUCAGAUUGCUUCGCAAGGUGUUACGUUUCAUGACGAGUGGCGGUAUGCUGUUCAUAUCCUAGGGCACAUUUACCUAAAUGAUUUUUAUUAUCUGGCAUUUGCUGUGUUUGUGGGUUGCAAUAUGGAUCUGGCAACAUGUGCUGGAGUUCUUUGUGCGUAUAUUGCCCCGCAGCUGGUUCCGGUAUACCUGAGGUUAAAGCUUAUCUUAAUGGUGUAGAUGCGCAUUCUAUUCUGGCUCCAAGCACCCUCUUUGUAAAGAUUUUUGGAUCGAUAUUUGGAGUGGCUGUUGGAUUUGUUGUGGGAAAGGAAGGCCCAAUGGUUCACAUGGGGGCUUGCAUAGCUAACUUACUUGGUCAAGGAGCAUCUACAAAGUAUUGACAUGGACAUGGCUUAGAUAUUUCAAAAAUGAUAGGGACAGGAGGGACUUGAUCACAUGUGGUGCAGCUGCUGGUGUUGCUGCUGCUUUUCGUUCCCCUGUUGGCGGGGCUCUCUUUGCACUUGAAGAAGCAGCCUCAUGGUGGCGGAGCGCUCUUCUUUGGAAAGCGUUUUUCACAACUGUUGUAGUAGCUGUGGUUUUGAAGGGCCUGAUUGAAUAUUGUAAAACUGGACAGUGUCGAUUGAUUGGGGAAGAUGGUCUGAUCAUGCGCGAUAUCAAUAAUUCAGUACCUUCUUACAACACCAUUGAUCUCCUUGCCAUUGUAUUACUUGGAGUUACCGGUGGAGUUUUUAGAAUCAUUUACAAUUAUCUUGUUGAUGAGGUCUUGUCGCAGUGGUGGCUACAACAUUAAGAUGGGCCCCGGUUGUUCUAUAGGGCUGACGAAGUUUGACAUGGGUUGUUCCGCAACGGUGUUAGGCGCUGCAAAAGCCGUUGGUCAAUUUAAACCCUCUGUAGUAAAGGAAACUACCAGUAACUUCUCGUAACUCCUCUCAACCGCCGCUUGUAGCGGUUAUUUUUGCUAGUUUAUACGGACAGGAUUUAAUCUCAGCAAGAUCUAACGACCAAGAAUGAUUUCAGAGGUGGUUAGACUGAAUGCGUUUUUGGAUGUGCUGACGGUGGUGUCAUCGCCACAGGAAUCACACUGUUCUAAAGGUAUGAAGGUUUCUCAUAAGUAUGAUUCUAAAGUACAAUUUAUUGCUGUAGAGAAUUCAAUGCUCGGUUUUAUGCUCAGAUUUGAUACAUUAGAUUCAUAUUGUUGUUGAUUUACAGUUGAAAUGCAUAUAUGUCAAUGACUUCAUCCUAUUUCCAAUUUAAAAGACAUGUUUUCUAUCUAUUGCUUUUCAAGCUUCUACAACUGAAAAUAGAAAAAUACAUUUUAUAAUGUAAUUACAUAUAUAUAUAUAUAUAUGUGUGACAAUGACUUAAAAAUUAGACCAUAUGAUAUUAGGGGUGCUAAACAGGUUGUGUUCGCGGGUUGAUGGGUUCAACCCGACCCGAACCCGAAAAAUUUGAACGACCCGACCCGAAGGCAAAAAAUGUGUCAUACAUAUGAACCCGAACCCGGCCUGAAUAUUCUCAGGCUGACCCGAACUCGACCCAUUCAACCCAAAAAAAUUUUCAGCAAAUUAAUAUAUUAAAAUUAACAUCUACUACAAAAAAACACACAAAUUUAUAUAAUAUGAUUACAUUAAAAUCAUAAAAUCUUAUGUCAAUUUCCCUUUUUAAGUUAUAAUUAUGACAUAAAGUUACACACCUAAUUAUAUUUAUGAUAUAAAACAUAUUGUAAAAAUAUAAUUUUAAUAUAAAUGGGUUAAACGGGUCAACCCGACCAGGUUGACCCGAACCUGACCCGUUUAGCUAAGCGGGCUCAACCUGAAACUGCCCCGAACCCGUGAAUUUCGUAUUUGGUUCGUGUCGUAUUUUCAGGUCGUGUCAAAAAUUCACACCCCUGUAUGAUAUUAUUGUGCAAUUGCCAGUUGUUAUAAAACUCUUACCUUCCUGUGCAUAUCAGAUUUGCAGGGACUGAAAAAUUGACCAUAUGAAAUAAUCUCCAUGUUUUCAUUGUCAGAUUAAAUAAUAAAAAUUUAGGGAAAAUUAGAAAACAUAUUAAACACUUAAACCAUGAUAGUAAAAAAAAAAAAUACCUUCUGGGAAUCUUUGAUUGGGCUACGAAAUUCCUCUUUGUUGGUUGUCAUGGCAUUUUAACCCAACUGUAAUUAAGAAAUUUAGAAAACGGAUUAAACAAUCACAUCAUGUUUAAAUUGAUAAUAUGUGUGUUAUGGAAUGAGCCAUAAAAUUGCUUCUUCUUGCCUGUUGUUUUGUUGGUACCCUUCAUUGCAUAGUUAACUAUUUUGAAUAGGUAGUAGUCAUCCAUAGCUAUAUGUGAAGGUAAAAAUAGACUAAACACUGAAACCAUGUUUAAACUGCUAACUUGUGUGUGGAAGUAAAAAAAAUACCUUCUGAUAAUUUUUGAAUUGGCUAGGGUAUUGCUCCUUGUUGGUUGUCAUUGCAUUCUUACUCAGCUGUAAAAAUUUGAUAGAAAUUUAGAAAACGUAUUAAAAGAUUACACCAUGUUUAAAUUGCUAACCUCUGUGUGUGUGUCAAAGAAAAACAAUACCUUCCUGUUAUCUUUGAAUAGGCUGUAGAAUUGUUCCUUCUUGGGUAUGGCUGCGUUGGUACUUGACUGCAAUAAAUACGUGCGUUAACAUAUAUAACAAUAUUCAUUUUUUGGGUUAGUGGUACCUUCGCAUAAUCAGCUGCUUAGGAUAGGUGGUAGAAGGCAUCAAUGUCAUCAAUGGCUGCAAAUGUGGUGUUGUUCGAAUGGGUUAAAUGUGAAAAGAAGACAGAUUUUUGUGGUACCUCAUUCUUCCUAUAUAGCCAUCAUAUUGGACAGUUACAUUGUCCACUACCCCACUAACUUGCUAAAAAUAAGGAAGACUUUUUUAACCGUCAAAUUAUAACUUGCACUUUUGUUGGACCCACGUUCUCAUAAUGCAUUUUUAUUGGUCCAUCUUAAUAAACUGCAAGUAACUUCUCGUAACUCCUCUCAACCGCCGCUUGUAGUGGUUAUUUUGCUAGUUUAUACGGACAGGAUUUAAUCUCAGCAAGAUCUAACGGCCAAGAAUGAUUUCAGAGGUAACUUCCACUUAAUGGGUUCCAUAUAUAUAUAUAAUUACACUAUGCCUCACGGCUAGGUUAACCGUAAACUUUCUCUGCUUAAAAUUUUGAGGGUAAUUAAUGAACUUUUUAACGUUAUGAAGGCUAAUACUAAAGUGUUUUAUUUGUAUGCAAGGAGGUUGUAUGUCAAAAAAAUAAUAAUUAAUAAAUAAUUAAAUAAAUAAUUUGUUUAACUGUUAUGGGUGGAAUUUCGAACCCAUAUCCCGAAGACAUAUCCUGAUAUUAUAUGUUUAAUACUGCGACUAGGAUACUGAACCAGGAUAUUUGUAACAUCAUGCAUGCGGGGGUAUCCUACUCGCCACUAACGAUUUUCUUUGGCUGCAAGGGACCAACGGAUACAUGGACUUAGUCUUCCUGAAGACUCGCUCAAGAUGCUUGGAAGACGAACGUUGGGAGCUGGAGAAGAAGUCUACAACGGUCAUAGGGGAAUAUUCGCAGUAUCCCGAAAUUAUAGGAUAGUUAGUUGUUUUUUGUAACUAUAUAAAGGAGUGCCGGAUCAGUAGGUAAACACGUGUAAUCCCGCACACUUUCACUUACAGAUUGCAGCUACGAUCACAUUCAGUCACAACACUUAUAUUUCACAUUCAUUGUAACACUUAGAGCUGAUCCGAGCAUUAUCCUGAAGCUGUAUCCUGCUGUUCAAUCAAUAAGAAGAACAAAGGCAGCUGACAAUUGUCAGCUCCCGAGGUUUCGUGCUGGCGAUCUAAAAAGAUCAAGUGCUUUCCUCGUACAUCCUGUGUCGA